CUGAAACGAAGAACCAAAAAAGCAAUGCUCAGUAAAAACAAAAAUUACCCCGACCAGUGCAUGCACGUGGUUAUUGAGAUCGAUCUUCCCGAGUUCCCAAUUCAAUACCGAAUCCGGAGAUCUUCUUAGCAUUCAGCCCAUAAAGCUCAAAUUCGGCUGCAAGUCGUUUGCUUUUGGGUUUAAAUUUGAUUCGAUUUUAUUUUAUCCAGAUGAUUUCUUGUUAGGUGAAUAAAAUUUGACAUACAACUCCAUUCUUUCAAUGGGUCUAUUCAUGGGAUUAACUGAUUAGGUUUUCUGAAAUUAUUGUUUCUUAUUGAUUGGGUAUGUGAAAUCCAUGUUUGAAUUUCUGCAGCUGCUGAUUGUUUGGAAUUGAAACAAUCGAUGCUUCGUUACUGCAAUUGCUGGUUGUUUAAUGUUUAUUAAAACAAUUGCUGAUUGUUUGGAAAAUCCAGUGGAUGAUCUUUUUCGUGGGGGAGAAAAUCUUGUAGAAUUUCCAAAAAUAGAAAAUGGUAGUGUUGAGCGCACUGUGUGCUUUAAUCCGGUUUGAACUCAAAGUUGCAGACUUUCUUUCUGACGUUCUAUAUAUUCCAACUUUCUAACUGAGCUAGUGUACUACGUAGCAGUGUGGUGAUUUGUUGUUUAUGUUGUUAUAUUCACUGAAUUGAACUGGUUCACACUGGGAGUACUGUGACUCUGCUAGUCUAGGAAAAAAGUAGAAAUUUUUUCUCAUUUUGUUUAGCGAGGUUGUUAGGUUCUCUGGUUAUGCAGAGUUUGCCAAUUAAGUGAAGUUCUGUUAUCCUUAAUAAUGUCAAGGCUCUUAUCUACUUAAUAAUAAAAAAUGUUCCUUUAGUAAUAGUACGCCUUGCAUAAUUGUCAUGAACUCAUGAUAUUUAGAAUCUUGCAUACAAGAAUCAUUUUGUGGUUGCAUGUUAGGUUUUAAUGUGAUUGCAUGUUAGGUUUUAAUCGAAUUGAGUGUGUGCAUUUUGAUUCUGAAAAUGAUUUUGAGGCUGGUUUGAGCUCAGUUAGUGAACUAUGAUUGUGAAAAAUGGAAUCUGACUUCGGUUCAGGUGGUGAUGGUGACGGGUUUUACAUGUUGAUUGUGUUUUCCACAGAGAUUAGAGGACCAAACUCCGCCUCUGCCAAAAGUGAUAAAUGCAAAGUACUCUCUCUUAAAAAGAAGACAUUAUCAAGUAAAGAAGGACCUGGUGUUAUCCCAAGUGUCAGACAGGAAAGCAGACUACCAAGUCCACGGGAAUUAAAGUCUGUGAGAGGUUUAUGAAGGAGCCACCAACAGAUUUAUUCAGCAAGCUCUAACUUGGACUUGAAGUCCAUCAUAAUGCAAAACCUGAGCUUAAAACUGCCUAUGCCUGCUAAGGAGUCAUUUGUCUUGUCAGCAGCUUGAUGCCUUUUUGGCAAAUGUUAAGAAACUAAACGCCCACGAGCAAAAAAAGAGGAGCCACUGCAGAAGGCUGAUGAGAUUUUUGGGACAGAGAAUAUAAGGACGUAUACGUUAUAUUGGAAGGAUUGAUCAGUCAUAACGUCUAUAGAACCCUAUAUCCCAUAUUUGAAGGGUUGAUAACUGUCCGUGUAACUCGUGGCAAUUGAAUUCUGUAAAUUCAAUCCAUUUUUCAUGCAAUUAAAUAUGAAUCUGCAAUAGUCAAUUCUUUGAAUUCCUUGAACUGUACAAGUAGCAACUUUGAGAGAAUGUUAGAAAAUGACUUGUUCUAACUUCUUCGCAAGCCUUACGAAGUUGGAAUAAGUCAUUAGAGGGUAAGAUAUUGCUUCCUGUAUGGCUCAGAACUCUCUUCUUUUCAGAUCCAAAAUUAGAUAUGGUAACAUUGCAAGUUCAUGUUACUUGCUUCAUGGUCUGUCUAGAGAGGCAUUUUACAUCGUCAAGGAUGCUUUUAGCAAUUCCCUGAUGGGAAAUUGAAUUUAACAUUGUUUUCAUGUUAAAUCGAUAAUCUGUUUUAUACAUAGUUGAUAGUAGUUGUAUAGUAAAAAAGAUUCUAGUUAGAAGCUAUUCCGUUAUGUUAUUGACAUGUAAACAUAUCAAUAACAUACUCCAGGUCUUCUCAUUCUGGCACAUCCAAUGCUCCAUCCCCUUGCUCCAUAUGCAAGCAGAGCCAGAACAUAUAUGCCCAA